GAUGAAGAACGCAGCAAAAUGCGAUAAUUAAUGUGAAUUGCAGAAUUCCGUGAAUCAUCGAGUCUUUGAAUGCACAUUGCGCCUCAUGGCAUUCCGUGAGGCAUGCCCAUCUCAGCGUUAGAAAAUAUUCUCAAAUUUUAGUUUUGUGCUAAAAUUUGGAUCAUGUCAAAGAAGCUAUUACUAUUAUUGUGAUCGCUCUUUGGAAAUUGAUAGGUCUUUGAGUUGCUACUCAUAGAAUGUGAUGAAUCUUUCUUCGUUCUAUUGUAAUUCACUCUGGUAGUCUUAAAACUUGUAUGCCUGUGGCAUAUCUUGUAAUUUGACCUGAGAUUGGGUAGGGAUACCCGCUGAACUUAAGCAUAUCAAUAAGCGGAGGA
rnacentral:misc_RNA from 1 species